GACGAACCACCCAAACGUUAUUCGGAAUCACUGGGCUUAAAGCGUGCGUAGGCGGCCUUGAAAGUUAGGUGUGAAAUCCCACAGCUCAACUGUGGAACUGCGCUUAAAACUACAAUGCUAGAGGGAUAUAGAGGUGAGCAGAACAGAUGGUGGAGCGGUGAAAUGCGUUGAUAUCAUCUGGAAUACCGGAGGCGAAGGCGGCUCACUGGGUAUCUUCUGACGCUGAGGUACGAAAGCUAGGGGAGCGAACGGG
rnacentral:rRNA from 1 species